rnacentral:misc_RNA from 1 species
UAGGCCAACUUGGGCUGAAGGGAAUUUGAGGAUGAGAAGCUGGAUCAAUGAACUGGAAUUGUGAAGGGAUUUGGAAAUGGAGAUGGAAUUGAGAGGGGUUGUGACGAUGGUGAUCUUAAUGCCGCGAGAUGCAAAGAGCUUGGCCAUGUCGACGAUGGGAAUCAUGUGGCCGUGAGCCAUGAAUGGGAACAAGAAGAUGUGGAGCUGUCGGUGUUCGCUGCCCAUGGUGGAUGAAUAUGGAAGAAAUAAAAGAGGAGUUGCAGAUAGAGA